CUGGGCAGCAUCGAGUCCAACCCUCAGGAGAGCUCCCUCCAGACCGAAGAACAUGACCCACUGGCUAUGUUUUACUCUUGCUCUUGUAGCCGUCAGAGGUGUCCUCUCUGAGAUCCAGCUGGUGGAGUCUGGAGGAGCCAUAAGGAAACCUGGAGACUCCCUGCGCCUCUCCUGCAAAGCCUCUGGGUUCACCUUCAGUGACACCUGGAUGGCCUGGGCCCGGCAGCCCCCUGGAAAGGGGCUGCAGUGGGUUGGUGAAAUCAUUGGGGACUCAAAGACCAUCAACUAUGCACCAGCAGUGAAAGGGAGAUUCACCAUCUCCAGAGACAACACCCAGAACCUGCUGUACCUGCAGAUGGGCAGCCUGAGCCCUGCAGACACGGCCCGGUAUUACUGUGCAAGGGACACCUUUCCAUGGUUCCACAAGAGGUUUGGCUGA